rnacentral:rRNA from 2 species
UUGAAGAGUUUGAUCAUGGCUCAGAUUGAACGCUGGCGGCAGGCCUAACACAUGCAAGUCGAGCGGUAGCACAGAGAGCUUGCUCUCGGGUGACGAGCGGCGGACGGGUGAGUAAUGUCUGGGAAACUGCCUGAUGGAGGGGGAUAACUACUGGAAACGGUAGCUAAUACCGCAUAACGUCGCAAGACCAAAGUGGGGGACCUUCGGGCCUCAUGCCAUCAGAUGUGCCCAGAUGGGAUUAGCUAGUAGGUGGGGUAACGGCUCACCUAGGCGACGAUCCCUAGCUGGUCUGAGAGGAUGACCAGCCACACUGGAACUGAGACACGGUCCAGACUCCUACGGGAGGCAGCAGUGGGGAAUAUUGCACAAUGGGCGCAAGCCUGAUGCAGCCAUGCCGCGUGUGUGAAGAAGGCCUUCGGGUUGUAAAGCACUUUCAGCGGGGAGGAAGGCGUUAAGGUUAAUAACCUUGGCGAUUGACGUUACCCGCAGAAGAAGCACCGGCUAACUCCGUGCCAGCAGCCGCGGUAAUACGGAGGGUGCAAGCGUUAAUCGGAAUUACUGGGCGUAAAGCGCACGCAGGCGGUCUGUCAAGUCGGAUGUGAAAUCCCCGGGCUCAACCUGGGAACUGCAUUCGAAACUGGCAGGCUAGAGUCUUGUAGAGGGGGGUAGAAUUCCAGGUGUAGCGGUGAAAUGCGUAGAGAUCUGGAGGAAUACCGGUGGCGAAGGCGGCCCCCUGGACAAAGACUGACGCUCAGGUGCGAAAGCGUGGGGAGCAAACAGGAUUAGAUACCCUGGUAGUCCACGCCGUAAACGAUGUCGAUUUGGAGGUUGUGCCCUUGAGGCGUGGCUUCCGGAGCUAACGCGUUAAAUCGACCGCCUGGGGAGUACGGCCGCAAGGUUAAAACUCAAAUGAAUUGACGGGGGCCCGCACAAGCGGUGGAGCAUGUGGUUUAAUUCGAUGCAACGCGAAGAACCUUACCUGGUCUUGACAUCCACAGAACUUUCCAGAGAUGGAUUGGUGCCUUCGGGAACUGUGAGACAGGUGCUGCAUGGCUGUCGUCAGCUCGUGUUGUGAAAUGUUGGGUUAAGUCCCGCAACGAGCGCAACCCUUAUCCUUUGUUGCCAGCGGUUCGGCCGGGAACUCAAAGGAGACUGCCAGUGAUAAACUGGAGGAAGGUGGGGAUGACGUCAAGUCAUCAUGGCCCUUACGACCAGGGCUACACACGUGCUACAAUGGCAUAUACAAAGAGAAGCGACCUCGCGAGAGCAAGCGGACCUCAUAAAGUAUGUCGUAGUCCGGAUUGGAGUCUGCAACUCGACUCCAUGAAGUCGGAAUCGCUAGUAAUCGUAGAUCAGAAUGCUACGGUGAAUACGUUCCCGGGCCUUGUACACACCGCCCGUCACACCAUGGGAGUGGGUUGCAAAAGAAGUAGGUAGCUUAACCUUCGGGAGGGCGCUUACCACUUUGUGAUUCAUGACUGGGGUGAAGUCGUAACAAGGUAACCGUAGGGGAACCUGCGGUUGGAUCACCUCCUU